GGUGGUGGUAGUACUACUCCUGGUGGUGGUGGUAGUACUACUCCUGGUGGUGGUGGUAGUACUACUCCUGGUGGUGGUGGUAGUACUACUCCUGGUGGUGGUGGUAGUACUACUCCUGGUGGUGGUGGUAGUACUACUCCUGGUGGGACCUAUUGAUGGGAUUCUUCAAUGAAAUGUUUGUCAUUCAACAUGUAGCCUCUGCAGAGAUGUUCUAGUUUUCAGGAGAAAUGGAUAGAGGGCAUUUUAACAAAGCAAUACCAUCUUAACUCUGCUUCCACAUUUUACUGAAUUGGUUGAACAGUGCAGAAGAGAACCAACCGUUUUCUGUUCUCCUGGUCAAGACCGGGAUGUAGUUUCAGGCCUUUCUUUGACAGCUGCUAUGUUAGGUGUUCCACGAGCGACGACUAGUUUUCAUUGAGAAAUACUGCACUAAACAUCUCUUAGAUGGGGGAAAUUGUGCAAAUUCAUUAGUUUUAUACAACAGUAUUGACUUGGCAUCAUCUUGACUUAAAUUUGACAACUCCCACAACUACAAAAAUGUCAACAUUUUUAUUACAGAUUUCUUGAUUUAUCUCAGAUUAAUUUGACCUGUUUUGAGGGAAGUGUUACUGGGUAUGUUGCUACGGUGGCUCAAGAGGGACAAACCAAAGUGUAGAUGCACUUUUUUUUUUUCCCUAAUUUUUCAAGUGAUGUUCAUUAGGGCGUAUGUGAGCAGGUGUUUGUUUUGCCGAGCUGAGUUCUGCUGGAAGCGAACCGACCCUCUGUGCAGAUGCCUUCAUCAGUUAAGUGGAGGAAAGUGCAACCACAAUACAGUACUGUCUGCUGCUAUAUGCUAAAGGUUUCCUGUAGAGCUGGGUGUGAGUGGACUUAGUCUUAUUAGAGGCUGGGGCUGCUGGAGAAAUGACUCGCUGUCAUAUAGUGUAUUCAUUUGGUGGGUUUGUUUUGGGGGGGGGUUUAGUGCUUUAUUUAACACUGAACAAAAAUAAAUUUAAAAAACGCAACAUGUAAAGUGUUGACCCCAUGUUUCAUGAGCUGAAAUAAAAAAAUCCCCCCAAAUUUUUCCAUACCCACACACACAGUUUAUUUCUCUAAAAUGUUGUGCGUGAAUUUGUUUACAUCCCUGUUAGUGAGCGCUUCUCGUUUGCUAAGAUUAAUCUAUCCACUUGACAGUUGUGGCAUAUCGAGAAGAUGAUUAAACAGCAUGAUCAUUACACAGGUGCACCUUGUGCUGGGGGGGCGUUAAAAGGCCGCUUUAAAAUGUGCAGUUUUUGUCACAAAACACAAUGCCACAGAUGCUUUGAGGGAGUAUGAAAUUGACAUGCUGACUGCAGGAAUGUCCACCAGAGCUGUUUCCAGAGACUUUAAUGUUAAUUUAUCUACCAUAAACUGCCUCCGAUAUAUAUAUAUAUAUUUUUUAGAUUAUUUGGCAACCGGCCUCACAACCACAGACCACGUAUAACCACACUAGCCCAGGACCUCCACAUCAGGCUUCUUCACCUGCGGGAUCGUCUGAGGUGGGGGUGCUGAGGAGUAAUUCUGUCUGUAAAUAAAGCCCUUCAUUCUGAUUGGCUGGGCCUGCCUCCCCAGUGGGCCUGGCUGCCACCCAUGGCUCCACCCUUGCUCAGUCUUGUGAAAUCCCUAAAUUAGGGCCUAAUGAAUUUAUUUCAAUUGACUGAUUGUCUUAAAUGAACUGAUUAGAUUAGGGCCUAAUGAAUUCAUCUAAUUUGAUUGAUUUCCUUAUAUGAACUGUAACUCAGUAAAAUCUUUGAAAUUGUUGCAUGUUGUGUUUUAUAUUUUUGUUCAGUAUUUUAUAUAUAUAUAUAUAUAUACACAAACACUACUGCACAGCCUGGACAAGGGGAACUGUUUCAACAUAUCACAUGUCAGCGUUCUCUGGUUGAAAUCAAGCACCUAUAUUAAUAUUGAACAGUGAUUGGUUUGGUUUGGUGAUAAUAAUAGAGUGACUGCAUGGGGGUCUAUAAUGCUUAGACUAGGAGGAGACCAUGUGACCUGACCAUGUGACCUGACCAGGAAAUACUGACCCUAUAUGACAGUGUUUCCCUCCUCCAGUACCCCCCCAACAGCCCAACUCCAGUCCUCCAGUACCCCCCCAACAGCCCAACUCCAGUCCUCCAGUACCCCCCCAACAGCCCAACUCCAGUCCUCCAGUACCCCCCAACAGCCCAACUCCAGUCCUCCAGUACCCCCCCCAACAGCCCAACUCCAGUCCUCCAGUACCCCCCCAACAGCCCAACUCCAGUCCUCCAUACCCCCCCCAACAGCCCAACUCCAGUCCUCCAGUACCCCCCCAACAGCCCAACUCCAGUCCUCCAGUACCCCCCCAACAGCCCAACUCCAGUC
rnacentral:lncRNA from 1 species